rnacentral:rRNA from 1 species
GACGAACGCUGGCGGCGUGCUUAACCCAUGCAAGUCGAACGGAAAGGCCCUGCUUUUGUGGGGUGCUCGAGUGGCGAACGGGUGAGUAACACGUGAGUAACCUGCCCUUGACUUUGGGAUAACUUCAGGAAACUGGGGCUAAUACCGGAUAGGAGCUCCUGCUGCAUGGUGGGGGUUGGAAAGUUUCGGCGGUUGGGGAUGGACUCGCGGCUUAUCAGCUUGUUGGUGGGGUAGUGGCUUACCAAGGCUUUGACGGGUAGCCGGCCUGAGAGGGUGACCGGCCACAUUGGGACUGAGAUGCGGCCCGGACUCCUACGGGAGGCAGCAGGGGGGAAUAUUGCACAAUGGGCGGAAGCCUGAUGCAGCAACGCCGCGUGCGGGAUGACGGCCUUCGGGUUGUAAACCGCUUUCGCCUGUGACGAAGCGUGAGUGACGGUAAUGGGUAAAGAAGCACCGGCUAACUACGUG